CUCUGCUCCACCAAUAAGAAAAGGAGGGUGUGUCGCAUGCAAAUAUAUGAUGCUUAGCCCCACCCCCAGUGCAAGCCACGCCCCCUCCUCUAGGUCCCUGCUGAAAUGGUGGGGAGAGUGAGGUAAAUAGCUGGGAGCUAUGGCUCACUAGAGUGUAAGACUGAGGUGAACAUUUUCCUCAUCCCUUGAGAAAGAGGGACAGAGGGGCAGGUUAAACAAUCCUUCCGUCGGCCAGUGCUUAAGCUUUCUCUCGGCCACAGUCUAAGUUUAGCUGUAAAGAACACUGCAGUCAUGUAGCAGUUUGCAUACAGGGAUCUCAAAGAACUUUAUGCAUCAUUUAUUGUGAGCCUUGUUUUGCGGAAACACCAGUUCCCUGAGGCUUGGGAAGGGUAGGAGGUGAAAUGUCUGAGGUAUAUUUGUAGAAUUCCUGGGGGGCCGGGGGGGGGGUAGCACAAAACCUCCGGUUUAGCGGUUUCCUCCUCUAUCCGAAGCACCUUCUCUCAGUCCUCUCAGGGAUGAAAGUUGCUUUAAAAUGUACCCAGCACAAAAGGGCCAGAGGGGUUUGUCCUCUCACCCAAAAGUGCUUCCUGAGGCAGCUGCUUGGAAGCACGCAGAGCACGGAGCCCUGCUUGGGAAGGAAGGUUCAGGGAACAGAUUGCCGUUGAAAACUAUUAGGCCAGACCUGCCUCUUCCAAAGCUAAAAAUGAUGAAGAAAGAUGGUCUUCUCUAGAAUUUGAAUUUGCAGGUAUAUACAGCCACAACCAUUGAUAGAAGCCACUAAUUUGACCCGAAGUAAUCUGUGGUGUUUUCUGUGCUUCUGAAGGUGUAGAUUUCAACGUCUGCAACGUUACAUUCAUGAGUCUGCUAAAUUUGAAACUGAGCACUGCAAAACAAGUAGAUACCUUUUCUUCUGGCAGUGAAACUAUGAAGAUCCAAGCAGUGUGGAAUGAAGCCAGUUUCAGAGACAACAUUUUGCUGAAAUGGAGAGUGAUCUGUGUGUGCCUAAGUCACACACAGGAAGCAGGAGACCCAAGGAUCACGGCCCCACAACGUCCCCGAAGGGCAAAGAGGCAACUUUGGGAAAAUGAGAGAAGCAUGCAAAGUGCAUGAAAUCAGCUGUUUACAUCGUGAAACAUAAGUCACAGUGCUAUGUGUUUGGAGGCUGCAGUCUCAAAGAUCAAAAGAGAAAAUAAAAGCCUACACCUCCAUGCACGAGUGAUCUGUGCCCCUCACUCUCUCAUUCCUUUCCUCCACCAUGUUAGUCUCCUAAGCCUUUGUUGAAGGAUUUUCUGUCUCCAUUAAAAAUAAGGAUGGGCGAGGGAGUAUUUUUUUUUUUUUCUUUUCUUCUUCUGUUGUGAGGGAGUAUUGUUUUCACCUGAGCAAACCAGCUGCGGCAGGCUCCGCAGCAGAGUAAAUCCAUGUGUUUUUGCUCUGCUUAUGUAAAAAUAACUUAGGGAAGCUGCAAUAUUUCGAAUGUGUAUUAAAAGUUGAAGAGAGGAAGGGCUUGGUGCAAUGAAUGAGAUGAAAGACAAAGCUGUGCCAGGCAAGAUGAAAGCCAAGCAAAGGGGUGGUUAAUCAUCCCAGCCAGAGAUAAGCAAGAGCAAUCCAGUGUCUCCUGAGAGAGCAGGAGGAGCCCCGCUAUCCGCUGCUCCGCUGCGGAAAUGUCUCUGACAUCGAAGUUACCGGAGCUGCUUACUAAGCCUGCUAUUUCUGCUCUGUCAAAGUCAUUCCAUUAAAACUUAAAAUAAGCCUGCAACUGGAUAAUCUUAUCCCUUAUAGGAGCCUUAUGUAACAUAUGCAAAUGUGCAUCUGAAUUAUUAGGCUUUUAUUUUUUUUUCCUCAAAGCUGCACUUAAUCAGUAAAAGCUUGUGAAAGCCUAGAGAUUUCUAAAAUAAAUGUGUAUCUAAGAACAUUCCUAAUGUUGUCUUGAGAGCUACCAAGAGGGUUUAGAAAAAAAGGCCUCUGAUGGAGAACAAGAAUUGCUGGGUCCUGAGGCUGGUUAUCUGCUUCCUUUGGACUGGCCCUUGCAAAUUGCUCAGCCUCCCAGGGCUGAAAGAUGCUAUGUCUGAGUGGAAGGAGUUCAGAAACUAGGGUCAGAAAGCCAGGGUUUGAGUCCUGCCUUGUCAUUUAUGAGCUUUGUGGCUGGCAAAGAAUUAAUAUUUGGAGACUUGUUUUCUUAUGAUAAAAUGGGUGAUAGUACCUAAUUCAUAGGACUGUUGGGAGGGACCUAUGAGACAUGUAUAUAUAAAAAGUGCUUUGCAAACUGUAAAGGGCAAUGGACAAGUUGGCCUUUGCCAUCACUUCCCCAGUUUAUCUGUGCCUCACAGAAUGCUGGGAGAGUAAAUGAGAGCUAGAAAGUCAUUUAUUACAGAAAGUCCUAAGGACUACUUCAGAAUUCAUUGCAGCAAGUGAGGACAUACUUUAAUUCUGUUGGUAAAAGCAAACAUAAACUAAUCAAAAGCCAGCCCCAUCUGGGAGAUGUGUAAAACAUCUUCCAUCUACAGUCACAGAAAAACAGCAAGAUUCUUUUUUUAUUCUCUUGUCUUCUAGAAGCAGUUGGGGGUUGGGUGGCUUGGAGGACAGAAUGCCACACAAAAGCAUUUGCCAGAUUAUGGGGUGGGGGAUGCUAUAAUUUAAGAGGCAUAAGAUGACUGAAGCGACCAUACAAAAAAGAUCUUCUAAUUCCAUUUGAGCUAUAAUCUGAUUUGGCUGUUGAGUACAAUGUCCUCUUCACAAGAAUCUGAAGUCAGUAUUGAGGGCUGUGCCGCAGAAGUUUUCCACCCAGCAACAGGAUGAUGUCAGCGGCCAGGGGAACAACCAAUCAGCAGGCAGAAUGAAUCAGAGCCGAGCUGGGAUUUUGCUCAACUGUCUCCUAGCAAAGCAAGCUGUGCUUUGAAGUGCAGGGGUUAUUUGCACUUCCUCUGCACUUGAAGCUGAGACUGAAUGGCUCCUUAGCUGAAAGGGUUACCAGUGAGUGUGCAAGCAGUUAAGAUUAUUUGCAUCCAAACAGCCAGUCUUAUGGGUAAUAAGAGACAUAUCUCUAUUUUUCUGGAAGCAUUUUUUGCAAUAAAAAAAAUUCAGCAUUAAUAAAUAUUUUAAAGUCUUGAUUUAUAUAUUGUGUCUUGUAAUUGUUUGAAACCUGUUUUAUUUCAUGCAUUAUGUGCUGCUGGGCAGCUCUUGGCACAUGAGCUACAUGUAGGUUUAAUAUUGUGCCUUAGAGAGUUUGAAUUUGCUGUGAUGUGUUCUCGUCUAAUGAUGAGCAGCCCAGAAAUCAACAGCUGUUUCAUUUCUGGGUCAAAAGCCCUAAUUUUCUAAUUCCACUAAAAUGUGUUUUGUAUAUACUUUAAAAAUAAGUCUAAGCUGAAAGCUUAUGAUGCGACUUGUAGACAUUGGGUGAGAGGGAGGCUUUGUAGCAUUUCUGAAAACAUGAACUUAUUUCCCAACAUUUUGUCAGUUUUUCUGAUCUUAGUAGCGAGUGACAGCAGGACUGGAAAGGGGUACAAUCAAAGCAUUAGACCUAUCUAUGCAGCAUCACCUAUUACACUUCCCAAGUCUAUUAGACCUCCUAGGGCAGCUUCUUCACUGGCAUCAUCUGACAACAAUUUCUGUGCUAGCUAAGGCCAGAAGGCAGUCUCUCCUACUAGUGAUGAAAACACGUCUUUACAAAAGAUAAAAAUAUAUAACAAAGAGGGAGUGAUUUUUCCAUCUUGUCUUCUUUCAGAGGACUUGGUAGGUCUCAGGAAGCACCAUAGACUAGGAUUUAUUAGCUCAGACCUGCCACAACCUUUCUCUCCUUCAACGGGUUUGCUUCUUGGCUGAAUGCCUCAUUUUCCUCAUUACUGAAAUGAAAACAGGGUUUACAAAAGCUAGCUAAUUUGAGCUAAUUAGGGACAGGCCAUUCUGAAAUAUUGAGAGGACUGAAUUUGAAAAUAUACUUUAGAGAAAAGCAGACAUUACAUUGAAAAUUUGGUAACAUGCUGGAGGAGAGUGCAUGAGUUCUAGAGUAUAGGCUCACCUGGUUUUGAAUCUCAGCUCCAUCACUUACCAACGCUGCACUUCCAGACAGAUCUCCAUUCCACAGGUGCAAACUAGGGCAAAGCUUAGCUCCAAGGAUGGUUGUGAAGAUAAACAAUCUCUCACCACCCAGCACAGGCAAAACACAUAGUAGCUACUCAAUAAUUCAUAGCCCCUCCACCCCUGUUAAACUAGAAAUAAACAGCUUGUUGGCUAAUGGAAAUCCCAGAGAGACCUGCUUUCACAAAUACUGUAGGAAUUGUAAUUAGCAUGUAAAAGGACUACUUCCAAGCCUUGAAAGCACGUUGUCCUUUAAAGGCUCUUAGGCCACUCAAGAAGCCUUGUUUACACUCCAGCAUUAAUUUGCUUAGCAAAUCCUCACUGCUAGGCCAAAAUUAAAUUUCAGUUUAGG
ensembl:lincRNA